AUAUAUAGCGAUGAGGAUAACAAGCUCCCUCUUCUGAAAUAUUCUGAGGACGAUCUGCGGCAGAAUCGAACCAAUUACAAUAUUGCCACCACUGAGU
rnacentral:snoRNA from 1 species